rnacentral:rRNA from 1 species
UACAGAGGUCUCAAGCGUUGUUCGGAUUCAUUGGGCGUAAAGAGCUCGUAGGCGGCUAUUCAAGUCGAACGUGAAAUCUCGGAGCUCAACUCCGAGCCUGCGUUCGAUACUGGGUAGCUAGAGUCUGGUAGGGGGAUCUGGAAUUCCUGGUGUAGCGGUGGAAUGCGCAGAUAUCAGGAGGAACACCGGUGGCGAAGGCGGGAUCCUGGGCCAGUACUGACGCUGAGGAGCGAAAGCGUGGGGAGCAAACAGG